rnacentral:lncRNA from 1 species
CGACUGUUCAGUUUCCUAAAGCAGGUGCCCUCCACAAGUCGAUUAAGACGUUGCUGCUUGAUCAGUUCUAAGAUCUCAGGCUGAAUCUUCUCUUUCAGUUCCAGAAUUGGACGAGACUGGAAAUCUUCCUGGUUCAUUCUUUCAGACUGGCGUAUUUUCAGUAUUUCUGUGUAACUGAGAUUCUGAAGCUUACUCUUGAACUGAUCCAGUGAGCUAGGCUUGGUAGUGAGCGCUCUCAUUAUCUGUUCUUUCACUACCUGCAUUACCUUAUUGAAGUCCUCUGAAGUUGCCCUCAUUUCCUUCCAUGUCUUGUUCAAGAGCUGAAUGCAGAUACAGAAGAACUCCUCAAACGAUCUGUCAUGUGUGAAGAACAUGGGAUGGAAAUCGUUGCACGUCUCACUGGGUAGCUCUCCUACUUUCAGUAUUUCACACAGCAUCUUGGUGAGCU